rnacentral:rRNA from 1 species
CCUACGGGUGGCAGCAGUGGGGAAUAUUGCGCAAUGGGCGAAAGCCUGACGCAGCGACGCCGCGUGAGGGAUGAAGGUCUUCGGAUCGUAAACCUCUGUCAGCAGGGAAGAACGGUCACUGUGCUAAUCAGCAGUGAAUUGACGGUACCUGCAAAGGAAGCACCGGCUAACUCCGUGCCAGCAGCCGCGGUAAUACGGAGGGUGCGAGCGUUAAUCGGAAUUACUGGGCGUAAAGCGCUCGUAGGCGGUAUGUCAAGUCAAGGGUGAAAUCCCCGCGCUCAACGUGGGAACUGCCUUUGAAACUGGCAAACUGGAGUGUGUGAGAGGAUAGUGGAAGUCCAGGUGUAGGAGUGAAAUGCGUAGAUAUCUGGAGGAACAUCAGUGGCGAAGGCGACUAUCUGGCACAUAACUGACGCUGAGGAGCGAAAGCGUGGGUAGCAAACAGGAUUAGAUACCCGAGUAGUC